UAGAAAAAAAUCAGUUGUUUUGAAUCAGUUGCACAUUCUCAAAGACUAUUCUGUGAUUGAGGAUGUAUAUGAACUGAUUUCUUUGUAUCAGGAUUCCUGGUUAGAGAAGUGAUUGAUAAUAAUGAAAAAAUAAAAUCACGUUUUUCUAGCAAAACAAAACCAGAGUUGCCCUGAGUAUUCAUUCCUCAUCUCUUCUGCACCAGAUGCUGCUGCUGCAUCUGCCUUUCAGGCUUGGAGCAUCUCUUCCACCCCUAACACUGCUUCUGCCCGAAGUCAGAAGAGGACAGAGAAUUAGAGAAGCCCUUUUCUUGGUGGCUUCAUCUCAUAGACCCAUCUAUUUGGUGAGGUUCACAGACCCUGGUGACUGCAGUAAGAAGAUCAUUAGUUCGAGGCCAACCUGGGCAACAUAGUGAGAUCUCAUUAAAAAAAAAAAAAAUUGAGGUUCACAGACCAACAGCAUUGUAUGUAUGACCUGGGAGCUUAUUUGAAAUGUUGAAUCUUGGGCCCUAAGCUGGCCUACUGAUCCCAAGAUUCCUAAGUGAUCUGUGUGCACAGUAGUGUUAGAAGCAUUAGGACUCUCCCUACCUCUAGAUCCAGAACAAUUUUAUGGAAGGUGAAAAGAAGGAGGCCAUGUGAGCCAGUGGAAAGUAUUCUGAAAUAUGAGCCAGAAGCUGUGUGUUUCAUGCCAUGCACCAGUUUGUGAUUCUGAAAAAAAAAAAAAUCACUGAAUCAUUUUGGGCCUAGUUUUCUGAUAUUUCAAAUGGGAAUAAUACCUCCCGGUUGUUUUAUGAGAUUGAAAACAAUUAAGCAAGAGAACAAAUGUGAAAGUGAUUUUAAAAAUCACAUAAGGUUCAUACAUGUGGUUAAAUCAUUAUUAUUGGUGUUUUAAAAAAUUUGCUUUUGUGAGUCAGACAUCUGGGUUGUGGCAGAAUAAGGGCCUAUGACGCAGCACAGCUCUCCUGCCUUCUAGUCCCAUCCACACGGAGUGAGGCUCCAUCACCACAGGCUGUGCAAGGCCCUAGGUGUCGCAAGGAGCAGCUGGAACCAUCUCUCUGAGAAAGGAAUUUGUACAUUUCAAGAGUUUUUAAAUGUGUUAGUACCCUGUGACCCAGUCUUUUCUACUAGAAAUCUGCCUCGAAAAAAUAAACAGGAAUGCAGAUGAAGAAUUUUAAGUAAUUAUGUUCACUGAAGAUUGACUCAGAAAAAACAGAAACAAGAACAAAACAACUGCAAACAAUCUGAAUACCCAACAGUAGGGAAUGGUUAAAUAAAUUGUAAGACCUCCAUAUGUGGUACGUCAUGCAGCUAUUAAGAUUUUUCUUUAAGGGGCUAGUGCUAUGGCUCAGUGGUAGAGCACUUGCCUGGCAUGUGUGAGGCACUAGGUUGAUUCUCAGCACCACAUAUAAAUAAAUAAAAUAAAGGUCUAUCAACAACUAAAACAAUUUUUUUUCUUUAAAAAGAGUUUUUAAGGACAUGAGAAAAUGUUUGAUGUCAUACUAAGCCAAAAAAAAAAAGAAAAA